rnacentral:rRNA from 1 species
GACGAACGCUGGCGGCGUGCCUAAUACAUGCAAGUCGAACGCAGUGGGGACGGGUGAGUAACACGUGGGUAACCUCCCAUCAGAGGGGAUAACACUUGGAAACAGGUGCUAAACCGAUACUGAUGGAUGGACCCGCGGUGCAUUAGGUAGUUGGUGGGGUAACGGCUCACCACGGCCACGAUGCAUAGCCGACGUGAGAGGGGGAGCGGCCACACGGGGACUGAGACACGGCCCAGAUGCCGACGGGAGGCAGCAGUAGGGAAUCUUCGGCAAUGGACGAAAGUCUGACCGAGCAACGCCGCGUGAGUGAAGAAGGUUUUCGGAUCGUAAAACUCUGUUGUUAGAGAAGCGGUAUCUAACCAGAAAGCCACGGCUAACUACGUGCCAGCAGCCGCGGUAAUAC